UGCCGGCUGGCUCAGUCGGUGGAGCAUGUGACUCUUGAUCUCGGGGUCAUGAGUUCAAGCCCCAUGUUGGCAG
rnacentral:tRNA from 1 species